rnacentral:rRNA from 1 species
GACGAACGCUGGCGGCGUGCUUAACACAUGCAAGUCGAGCGAUGAAGCUUCUUCGGAAGUGGAUUAGCGGCGGACGGGUGAGUAACACGUGGGUAACCUGCCUUGUAGAGAGGAAUAGCCAUUCGAAAGGAUGAUUAAUACCUCAUAAUAUUGUAGCUUCGCAUGGAGCAACAAUCAAAGGAGCAAUCCGCUACAAGAUGGACCCGCGGCGCAUUAGCUAGUUGGUGAGGUAACGGCUCGCCAAGGCGACGAUGCGUAGCCGACCUGAGAGGGUGAUCGGCCACAUUGGGACUGAGACGCGGCCCAGACUCCUACGGGAGGCAGCAGUGGGGAAUAUUGCACAAUGGGGGAAACCCUGAUGCAGCAACGCCGCGUGAGUGAUGACGGUCUUCGGAUUGUAAAGCUCUGUCUUCAGGGACGAUAAUGACGGUACCUGAGGAGGAAGCCACGGCUAACUACGUGCCAGCCGCCGCAGUAACAC